AAAUUGAAGAGUUUGAUCAUGGCUCAGAUUGAACGCUGGCGGCAGGCCUAACACAUGCAAGUCGAACGGUAGCACAGAGGAGCUUGCUCCUUGGGUGACGAGUGGCGGACGGGUGAGUAAUGUCUGGGAAACUGCCCGAUGGAGGGGGAUAACUACUGGAAACGGUAGCUAAUACCGCAUAACGUCGCAAGACCAAAGAGGGGGACCUUCGGGCCUCUUGCCAUCGGAUGUGCCCAGAUGGGAUUAGCUAGUAGGUGGGGUAACGGCUCACCUAGGCGACGAUCCCUAGCUGGUCUGAGAGGAUGACCAGCCACACUGGAACUGAGACACGGUCCAGACUCCUACGGGAGGCAGCAGUGGGGAAUAUUGCACAAUGGGCGCAAGCCUGAUGCAGCCAUGCCGCGUGUAUGAAGAAGGCCUUCGGGUUGUAAAGUACUUUCAGCGAGGAGGAAGGUGUUGAGGUUAAUAACCUCAGCAAUUGACGUUACUCGCAGAAGAAGCACCGGCUAACUCCGUGCCAGCAGCCGCGGUAAUACGGAGGGUGCAAGCGUUAAUCGGAAUUACUGGGCGUAAAGCGCACGCAGGCGGUCUGUCAAGUCGGAUG
rnacentral:rRNA from 1 species